rnacentral:ncRNA from 2 species
GGUAAGUAUAUACUAAGUGAGUUCCUUUUUAAAAAUAUAAGAAAUGAUUUGGGGAAACUGGUUAGAUUCCAGUGCAGUGCCGCUACGGUAAGCUCCGACGAAAGUUCGGAGACAAGCCCGACUACCAAUCAUUUUGUGUGUCCCGAG